AUGUGUAGAGGAUGUAGUUUAGGUUAUGGUUUCGUGGCAAUCUGAGUGGUGGUUGGAACGAGUAAUGGAAGCGCAUGCGUUGCUGUGGCCGAAGCAGUUCCGGGGAGAGGGUGGUCAAGAAUCAGAUUUACGGUGGUGUGAGCUCAUCGAAUCUUCCUCUCUCUCUAUCUCUCUCUCUUCUUCUUCUCUUUUUCACUUUUGUUUCACUUUUUUUGUUUUGAUUGUGAAUUGUUGUUGUAUAUUGUUGUUGUUUUUUUGUGUUGAUGAU
rnacentral:lncRNA from 1 species